rnacentral:ncRNA from 1 species
CAAAGACUUAGUCCUAACCUUGCUGUUAGUUAUUGCUAAAAUUACACAUGCAAGUCUCAGCAUGCCAGUGAGAAAUCCCUAGCAGUUCUACUAAACUAAAGGAGUUGGUAUCAGGCACACCAUGAUAGCCCACAACACCUAGCUUCUGCCACUCCCCCAAGGGUAAUCAGCAGUGAUAAAAAUUAAGCAAUGAGCAUAAGCUUGACUUAAUUAUAGCAAACAGAGCUGGUAAAUCUUGUGCCAGCCACCGCGGUCAUACAAGAAGCUCGAACUAACAAACAACGGCGUAAAAUGUGACUAAAAUAAUCUAAAAAAUUAAGGUAAACUCACUACUUAAUUGUUAUACGUAAAAGUACAUACUUACACAUUAUGAAAAUAACCUUAACAAAAUAGAUCCAUUUGAACUCACGAUUGCUAAGACACAAACUGGGAUUAGAUACCCCACUAUGCUUAGCCCUAAACUUAGAUAUUUUUAAUACAAAAAUAUUCGCCAGAGAAUUACGAGCUAAACAUGCUUAAAACUCUAAGGACUUGGCGGUACCUCAAACCCACCUAGAGGAGCCUGUUCUAUAAUCGACAAUCCACGAUUCACCUCACCAUCUCUUGCCAACUCCGCCUAUAUACCGCCGUCAUAGCCUACCUUAUGAAAGAUAAAAAGUAAGCAAAAUAAUCUAAACAAUUAAUAAAUCAGGUCAAGGUGUAGCUUACUGAGAUGGAAGAAAUGGGCUACAUUUUCUAUAUUAGAAAUAACUACGGAAAGAUACCUUGAAACAGGUUCUACAAGCAGGAUUUAGCAGUAAACUGGGAAAAGAGAGCCCAAUUUAAGCCGGUCCUGAGGUACGCACACACCGCCCGUCACCCUCCUCAAUAAUCUAAUCACAAAUAAAUAAACUAUAACAAAUAAAAAGAUGAGGCAAGUCGUAACAAGGUAAGUGUACCGGAAGGUGUACUUGGAAUAAC